CAUCUUUUGGCGCAGUGGGUCCGUGCAUCUGGCUAUUAACCAGAAAGUUGGUGGUUCAAGUCCACCUGGGGAUGG